rnacentral:ncRNA from 1 species
CAAAAGUUUGGUCCUGACUUCACUGUCAAUUUUAACUAGAUUUACACAUGCAAGUAUCCGCAUUCCCGUGAGAUUUUCUUAAGUGUUUUUAAACUCUAAGAAAUGAUAUCAGGCACAAUAAAAUUUUAGCCCAAAACAUCAAGCCUAGCCACACCCCCAAGGGAAUUCAGCAGUGAAUAAUAUUAAGCCAUAAGCGAAAGCUUGACUUAGUCACAGUUUUUAAGGGCCGGUAAAACUCGUGCCAGCCACCGCGGUUAUACGAGGGGCUCAAAUUGACCGUUGUCGGCGUAAAGCGUGUUUUAAGUACAAAUAAACUAAAGUGGAACACCCCCAAAGCUGUUAUACGCAAUUGGGUGAAAGAAAAACUUUUACGAAAGUAACUUUAAAUAUCUUGAAUACACGAGAGCUGCGGAACAAACUGGGAUUAGAUACCCCACUAUGCUCAGCCUUAAACUUUGAUAUAAAAACACAUUUAUAUUCGCCAGGGUACUACGAGCGUAAGCUUAAAACCCAAAGGACUUGGCGGUGCUUUACCCCACCUAGAGGAGCCUGUUCUAUAACCGAUAACCCCCGUUAAACCUUACCUUCUCUUGUUCUUCCCGCCUAUAUACCGCCGUCGUCAGCUUACCCUGUGAAGGUUCCUAAGUGAGCGAGAUUGAUAAUGUCCAAAACGUCAGGUCGAGGUGUAGUAUAUGAGAAGGAAAGAAAUGGGCUACAUUUCCUAUCACAGGACAUAACGGAAACAUUUAUGAAAUAUAAUGUUCAAAGGAGGAUUUAGCAGUAAGCAGGAAAAAGAGUGUCCUACUGAAACUGGCCCUGAAGCACGCACACACCGCCCGUCACUCUCCCUAAACCACUAUAAAAUAAUAUAUAAUACAAAACUAGGAAUAGAAGGGAGAAAAGUCGUAACAUGGUAAGUAUACCGGAAGGUGUACUUGGUUAACC